rnacentral:lncRNA from 1 species
UCAUAGGGUCAGGAUGUAUGUGUGCGCAUUCAUAGGGGUAAGUGUAUAUACGUGUAUAUGAGCACUUGCAUCUGUACUAUGUUAAAGAAAAACUUUGUCCGGUCCAAAACCCAGUCAUACAACAGUUCGGCCAUUAGCUCUGCCAUAACUUGCCAAACAAUAACUAACAAGAUUGUAUUCGCAAAGCAAGUAUUUCAUUGUCCCGUGAGAAGCUCAUGGUCGUGGACAAUAAAUCCAUAACGUGUCCUAUCCGUACCUUCCUUCUUUAAGAGAUGAGUCAAUUCGCGAACCAAUCUAUGGUUGGAUGGUUAGAGAAACUGUGGUAUCCUAGCCCAUCAGGGUUCAAGUCCUGAUGUUUGUAUUUUUUCUGGAUUUAUUUCAGGAUUCCCGCGAUGCGCAUUCAGUGGGAGGAGACGUUCCCGUCGACGAAGAGGUGCCUAUAGUGACUUCGUAAAUUUUAAGAUGAUAUGCCGGUUCAGUCUUUCGGAGGUGCUCAUAGGGGUAGGGUGUGCGUGUCUGCAUUCAUAGAGGUGAGUGUAUGCGCGUGUAUAUGAGUGCUUGCGUCUGUACCGUGUUAAAAAAAGAUGAGUUAAUUCUAUUUUUUGCCCUCAAAAUAUACGCGUUUGAUAAAUUGUACCCCCAAGUUGACAUUCGAUCAAGUGAUGGCCCAUAAUUUAAAGAUUACUUUCACAUUUUGCCCCAAUAUAAAUAAAGAAUGAG